CAAGCAUAUACCCAGACCAGGCUUGCUUUUACACACUAAUGACAUGGAUUCAGGAUAUGUAAUUAUUGUGGUUAAUCAUGUGUGUUGCUUUUUGCCUAUUUUACUUAAAAUCCCCAUUAGAAGUGUCUAGCCUACCCAUACUCUAACUUUCUAGGAUUGUAUACGUACCUAGAAAUAUGUAUUAAAAUAAUGUCAAGACAUAGAGUGAAAUGAGAUAUUGGGGACUGUGGGCUAGCACAGCAGACUUGUCCUAUGUAAUUAGAACCCAGUUGGUCUCUAAACAGAACCAUUUUGAAUAUAUGUGAAUACAGAUUUGUGUACCUUAAUGCACUUAAAUGGAGUCUAGUUUAGAUUUUAAAAACAUACUUAUUUUGAUAACUUAUUUUUAGAUUUGUAAAUUACAUUAUUUAAUUAUUUUGUAAACAUGGGUGUUUUACCUGCAUGUAUUACACCACAUGCAUGACUGAUACCUUUAGAGGUUAGAAGAAUACAGAAGAUCCCUUGAAAUUGGAGUUACAAAUCAUUGUGAGCUGUGUGGGGGUUCUGGGAAUUGAAACUGGGUCCCCUGGAAGAGCAAAAAAAAAAAUGCUCUUAACUGUAGAGCCAACUCGACUUUAACACUUGGAGCCUUGGUUUCUACAUUCACAAUACCCAGGGUUGUUUUUACAUGGAUGCUCUAAGACUGGUCCUUAAGCAAUAUUUUACUAACCUUAAUUAACAGUGUGUGUUCUAGACAAGAGUCAGAUAUAGCUGAAGUCUGAUCAACAACCAACAAUAGCACUUCAUACUUUUCAUAGGAGUCUCUUUUCAGAGUCGCCUGUAUCCCCUAUACAAUACUGUUUACAAAGGAUGGGUUCAGUUCUCUAAAUUUAUCAUCAGUUAUAAAGUAUACUUUUCUGGUUGGCAGAGUUCCCAAGUUCAGACUCACCCAGUCAUAAGCAGAUCCACAGAGGAAGAAACGGUGUUAAGCUAUAGGUAAGAAAUGUACAAGCAUGACAUAAGAGUUAGUGUGACCUGGAGAAACCUGGAAGUCUGGGUUGAGAAGUUUCCCACACUAAUUCUUCCGUUAAUGGUGGCUUCAUGUUUCCAAGAGAAGGAAAGGUGUUAUCUAGGGACCUCAUGACUUCUGACCCUCCACUCUGCCUUCUCCACUGAUACGUUUGUGGCUGACUUAGCAAAUCCCUUUAUACUCUCUACUUUCUGCAAUAAAAUGUCUUCUCAGGAGGAAACUGGAAGUUUUCAUAAAAGCAAAAACCCAAGAAAUGAGCCAAAAUUUAGCCCUUAGCCAGGAGGUCAAGAUAGGUAUGUGAUUUUAUACUAAUAUACUCAUAUGGACUAGAUUUCCAAAGUAGAGAAGGUGGCAGGUCAUGUUUGAAAAUAGUCCAUAUUAGAAUACACACAUCUGUACAUAUGCACAUGCACACAUAAAGUUCUAGUUUAGAGUGACUCUCUAUGUUUUUAUAACUAUACUUUAAUUUUUUAGCAUUUUGGACAUGGGUUAAAAUAUGAACACACACACACACACACACACACACACACACAUAUAUAUAUAUACAUACAUACACACAGACAUAUAUAUGUAUAUAUUAACAUGAUCAAAAAUUAUUGCAAUGACCAGAUGUAUCAUAGUGUCAAACAUUGUGGACACUGGCUGUCUAUCAACCAGGCAGCUGCCAAUAUUCCGUGUAGUACUCACUUGUUACACUGUUCUGCUUCGUAGUUUCUGAUGUGGGGACUCUGGUUCCAAACUCAGUCACCAUCAAGUGUAUUCUCUCUAAGCGAGGACUGCUUUGCAAAUGCUUCUGAGCUAGAGUCUGAGGUUUGGAGUCUUUUUGGAAUAAAAAAAUAUAACAUCACACCUCAAGCAAAGCUCUAACAAGGGUUUAGUUACAUUUUGUCCAACAUGUCCAGGAAGUUAAAAUAUAUCACAUAUAUAAAAAUUCCAAAAAAGAGAAUAGUUGUAUUUCCAUUAGAACAAACUCUUUCUCAUUAUUCUUCUAUUUCAUUCUAAUAGCCACUGAAUGCAUUCCUUCUGAUUCCUCUUCUUUCUUUGAUUCUUAGCUAUGAUUACCUACUCAUUCUCUCAACCAAAUUUAGUUUUAAUUUUGUUGAGCUCUGAAACAAAUUUCUCCCGAGACUUUCACUAUGUGCAGAUUGGUGCUAUGGCUGUACAGACCUUUAGGAAAUAUUCUCUACUAUUUCCUUCUAUCCCUCAUCAGACAAUUACUCUUUCUCAUACAUCUAACUAUCAUAACCUACAGUUUUGGCACUUAUGUAGCUACGACAGUUGAACACAUUUGAAGGGAAACACACGUAUUCAGUGCUUUAUCACCGAUUCAUUCUUCUGUUACUCCAUCAAUCUGUAGUUUAUUUUUAAAAAAGAUUUAUUUAUUUAUUUAUUUAUUUAUUUAAUUUGUAUGAGUGCACUGUUGCUGUCCUCAGACACACCAGAAGAGGGCAUCAGAUCCCAUUACAGAUGGUUGUGAGCCACCAUGUGGUUGCUGGGGAUUGAACUCAGGACCUCUGG
rnacentral:lncRNA from 1 species